rnacentral:rRNA from 1 species
UACGAAGGGUGCAGGCGUUACUCGGAAUUACUGGGCGUAAAGCGUGCGUAGGUGGUUUGUUAAGUCUGUUGUGAAAGCCCCGGGCUCAACCUGGGAAUGGCAAUGGAUACUGGCAAGCUAGAGUGCGGUAGAGGGUAGUGGAAUUCCCGGUGUAGCGGUGAAAUGCGUAGAGAUCGGGAGGAACACCAGUGGCGAAGGCGGCUACCUGGACCAGCACUGACCACUGAGGCACGAAAGCGUGGGGAGCAAACAGG